rnacentral:rRNA from 1 species
GCCUAACACAUGCAAGCCGAGCGGUAUUUAUUCUUCGGAAUAGAGAGAGCGGCGUACGGGUGCGGAACACGUGUGCAACCUGCCUUUAUCAGGGGGAUAGCCUUUCGAAAGGAAGAUUAAUACCCCAUAAUAUAAUUGAUGGCAUCAUUGAUUAUUGAAAACUCCGGUGGAUAGAGAUGGGCACGCGCAAGAUUAGAUAGUUGGUAGGGUAACGGCCUACCAAGUCAGUGAUCUUUAGGGGGCCUGAGAGGGUGAUCCCCCACACUGGUACUGAGACACGGACCAGACUCCUACGGGAGGCAGCAGUGAGGAAUAUUGGACAAUGGGUGAGAGCCUGAUCCAGCCAUCCCGCGUGAAGGACGACGGCCCUAUGGGUUGUAAACUUCUUUUGUAUAGGGAUAAACCUAGAUACGUGUAUCUAGCUGAAGGUACUAUACGAAUAAGCACCGGCUAACUCCGUGCCAGCAGCCGCGGUAAUACGGAGGGUGCAAGCGUUAUCCGGAUUUAUUGGGUUUAAAGGGUCCGUAGGCGGAUCUGUAAGUCAGUGGUGAAAUCUCAUAGCUUAACUAUGAAACUGCCAUUGAUACUGCAGGUCUUGAGUAAGGUAGAAGUAGCUGGAAUAAGUAGUGUAGCGGUGAAAUGCAUAGAUAUUACUUAGAACACCAAUUGCGAAGGCAGGUUACUAUGUCUUAACUGACGCUGAUGGACGAAAGCGUGGGGAGCGAACAGGAUUAGAUACCCUGGUAGUCCACGCCGUAAACGAUGCUAACUCGUUUUUGGGUUUUCGGAUUCAGAGACUAAGCGAAAGUGAUAAGUUAGCCACCUGGGGAGUACGUUCGCAAGAAUGAAACUCAAAGGAAUUGACGGGGGCCCGCACAAGCGGUGGAUUAUGUGGUUUAAUUCGAUGAUACGCGAGGA